rnacentral:rRNA from 1 species
AUUGAACGCUGGCGGCAGGCUUAACACAUGCAAGUCGAGCGGAGAUGAGGUGCUUGCACCUUAUCUUAGCGGCGGACGGGUGAGUAAUGCUUAGGAAUCUGCCUAUUAGUGGGGGACAACAUUCCGAAAGGAAUGCUAAUACCGCAUACGUCCUACGGGAGAAAGCAGGGGAUCUUCGGACCUUGCGCUAAUAGAUGAGCCUAAGUCGGAUUAGCUAGUUGGUGGGGUAAAGGCCUACCAAGGCGACGAUCUGUAGCGGGUCUGAGAGGAUGAUCCGACAAACUGGGACUGAGACACGGCCCAGACUCCUACGGGAGGCAGCAGUAGGGAAUAUUGGACAAUGGGGGGAACCCUGAUCCAGCCAUGCCGCGUGUGUGAAGAAGGCCUUAUGGUUGUAAAGCACUUUAAGCGAGGAGGAGGCUACUGAGACUAAUACUCUUGGAUAGUGGACGUUACUCGCAGAAUAAGCACCGGCUAACUCUGUGCCAGCCGCCGCAGUAACAC